UACAGAGGUCUCAAGCGUUGUUCGGAUUCAUUGGGCGUAAAGGGCGCGUAGGCGGCGGACACAGUCAGAUGUGAAAUUCCCGGGCUCAACCUGGGGGCUGCAUUUGAUACGUGUUUGCUUGAGUGGGGAAGAGGGUCGUGGAAUUCCCAGUGUAGAGGUGAAAUUCGUAGAUAUUGGGAAGAACACCGGUGGCGAAGGCGGCGACCUGGUCCUUGACUGACGCUGAGGCGCGAAAGCGUGGGGAGCAAACAGG
rnacentral:rRNA from 1 species